rnacentral:antisense_RNA from 1 species
GGAGGAGGCGGAGGAGGCGGAGGUGGAAGAGGAAGCCGGGGUGGACGAGGCGGAGGAGAGAGAGGCGGGCCGCGGGCGCAGGCUGUCCGGCGGAGGCUCAGCCCGCUCCGGGGGCGGCGGCGGCGGCGGCGGCGGCUGAAGAGGCUGCGGCGCGCUCAGGGGACCCGCGGCGCCGCUGCCCUUGAGCGGGCCUGCGCCGCCGUGAGGGAAGAGUUGCUGCCAGUGCUGCAGUUUUCUGAACCUGGGAAACGUGCUGUUCAGACUUCAUCCGGGUCUCAUUCAGGAUGCUUCGAUGUUGGUUGGAAGAGAGUUAGACCGAAAAUGUUUUGACUGGCGUCGUUAUGACAAGGUCAUCCGUCAUUGUUGGAUAGAUUGAUAGCACCCAAGUUUAAGGCAGACACCACGAGGGAAAGCCCACGGCGCUGUGGUCCCGGAGGCUAACCAGGCAGUGUCCGCAGACCUCCAGCAACUCCAUCGGGAGGAGAGGAUGAAGUUCCAGGCCCGUUUCAAUUAAUCUGCUCGCAGAACUGCCGAAGA